rnacentral:rRNA from 1 species
ACACGUAGGUAACCUGCCCAUGUGCCCGGGAUAACUUCUGGAAACGGAUGCUAAAACCGGAUAGGUAGCAGACAAGCAUUUGACUGCUAUUAAAGUGGCUAAGGCCAUGAACAUGGAUGGACCUGCGGUGCAUUAGCUAGUUGGUGAGGUAACGGCCCACCAAGGCGACGAUGCAUAGCCGGCCUGAGAGGGCGGACGGCCACAUUGGGACUGAGACACGGCCCAGACUCCUACGGGAGGCAGCAUG